CAGCUAUAUCAUGCUGAGACUCUGGUUCUCAUACAAUCACAAAAGUUAAGCAAUGUCAAACCUGGUUAAUACUUAGAUGGGUGACCACUUGGGAAUACCAGGUGCUGUAAG